GGGCCCGUAGCCUAGACAGGAUAUGGCACUGGCCUCCUAAGCCAGGGGUCACCGGUUCAAGUCCGGUCGGGCCCG
rnacentral:tRNA from 2 species